rnacentral:misc_RNA from 1 species
GAUGAAGAACGUAGCGAAAUGCGAUAAGUAGUGUGAAUUGCAGAAUUCAGUGAAUCAUCGAAUCUUUGAACGCACAUUGCGCCCCUUGGUAUUCCAUGGGGCAUGCCUGUUCGAGCGUCAUUUGUACCUUCAAGCUCUGCUUGGUGUUGGGUGUUUGUCUCGCCUCUGCGUGUAGACUCGCCUCAAAAUAAUUGGCAGCCGGCGUAUUGAUUUCGGAGCGCAGUACAUCUCGCGCUUUGCACUCAUAACGACGACGUCCAAAAGUACAUUUUUACACUCUUGACCUCGGAUCAGGUAGGGAUACCCGCUGAACUUAAGCAUAUCAAUAAGCGGGGA